CAAACUAACAAUAGAGAAAUUCCAGAGGUAGGUUGACUGUCUUAUGCUAGCAUCCUUUUUUAUUAUUAUUCUUGUUGAAAUCACAUAAAUUGGAGCGAGUAAGUCAUAUGUAAACAGGAUGGAGGUUGAAGAUAUUUAAUUUGCAUGAAUAUAAGUUACCUUCUCAUGCUUCCCUUAAAUAAGCAACCAACAAUUUGAGAGUAGUCGUCAUACAUGCAUCCCGAAAUUUCACAUUCCUUUGUCUAUUCUAUUGGUCUCCAGAGCUCACCUUUCAAAAGCUAGAAGGCCGAAAAUGAGUAUUUCAAUGAGAAUUGAGAGCAGGAUGACGUCCGGUGAGAUCAAAAUCUGCUUCAGCACAGAGGCCAAGGCUUCGACAAUCAAUGAAUACACUGGAUCAUCUAGAAAGAACGAACGCCUGGAUUAGUAGAUGUGCUCAAGAACCACAUAUUAAAAAAUGCUACAUGCAACUUUACCGGGAAACAGAAAAGAAUUCAUCUAAAAAAUUUGGUUUAACCUUUCUAACAUGUAAUUUACAUGCAACUCAAAAAUAAUUUCUUGUGAUUCAAUAUUCUUAAGACUUUAUAAUUCCUUUACUUGAUGUUCAAAAGAAAUCACACGGAUUUCUCUUCCUUUCUCAUUAUUCUCGUGCUCUUUAGUUGCGAACAAAGAGUUGUAUUAUCAGUAAUAUACAUCGCUAUUGCAUAUCACAAGCCAAAGUAUUACACACAAUCACCAAACAAAGAGAGAGAGAACAAGGGAGGCCGAGUAUGACAAAUAAGAGUAUUAAAAGUUUCACCGUUGAGUAUAAUUUUUUCCGGUUCUCCAAACCCCGUGCAAAAAGUAGGAAUUACACACCUUGUUUAUGUGUUGUUGCACCACGACAGAGCUUCAAUAGACUUAUUAUUAUAGACCCCCUAGCUUUGAUCGAGGUCAUGUGUAAGUAAGGUCUAAAUCUGACCAGUUCUCAAGGGCAUGUGUAAGUAAGGUCUAGAUCUAACCAGUUCAAAUAGUAUAUAAGGUCUCGAGAAUUUCAGACUUACCAACUCUCCAAGUUCAAAUAGGAUUUAAUAAAGGUCUGCGAAUUUGAAAAGUGUGAACUCUGAUAGUAAUGAUUAUUUAUUCGCAACAUGAAAUUUGGUAAAAAUAAGAGAUGGACUUUUAAAAGCAAGUAGAAAUAACAUUUAGAUUAUAACGCCAUUGCAAAUCUAAAACUUAGUAAUUGAAAGUACGCUCCCAAGUUUAUUAUAAUAAACUUUGAGUUAUUUCAAUUUAUUACACACCAAAAAUAUCAAGAUUAUCACUUGGUAACUCAUCCUUAAUCUACAGCAGCUAGUUCACACAAACAACCCCUUCGCACAUAAGUGAUUUUGUUCCAUUAGAUAAUUACACGAAACAAAGUUUUUCUUAUCAGAUACCAAUUAUACAUCUUCCACUUAAUAGAUGCAACAUUUUAUUUAUAUUUAUAUAUAGUCAUUCGUCAUACAUAUUUUCGACAAAAUCUAAUAUAUAAGUAAGAUUAAAGAUAAUAAAAUAUCAACAAGGAUAAUUAUUAUGAUAAAUAUCAAUAAGAGAUAAGUGCAUCCUUUAUUCCACGUCAAUCUUUUAUUAUUAGAAUAGAAGACAAGUCCAUCCCUUAAAAUUGCAACAAAAGACACACCGUAACUAGCAUGUAGCAUCAGAAAUGUAUUUAUUUGUUAAUGUUAUCUUUUUACGAAUGCAACUCAAACAAGAAGUUUAAAAUGUGCUUUAGUGUUUGGCAAUUUUUAUGACAUUAACAAGCUAGAAUUUUAUUCAAUAGUGUAAAAGCCAUAUCGCAAUCUUUUGUAGUAGACUACACGGUCAAUCUUUCAAUUCCAUACCGGCAAGAAAAUAUGGGUUCAAGGGUGGAUUUCAUUAUAUUAACGGAUUUAAAUAUCUACACAACACAAUAAUAUACUAUUUUUGAACACACAUUAAUGGAGUGAAUCCCGAAUAGGAUUUCGUGGUCGUAGCAUAUGAAUCUAUACCUCAAAUAACUGAAAUCAGACCAAACUCAGUUUUCAAAAUUUCCAAAUUAUGUCGUACAACCAAUCUGUUGCUUUAAAUUAAGUUCUCACACGAACAAUCCUACAUCUACUUUGAUAGUGGUGCACGGAACUACAAUUAGUUGGUCUUAAAUCUACUUAAACAGUGGUGCGAGGUAUAGUUGCUUAUGAAGGCCAUACUACUGUCUUAUGUAUGUGUUCCUGUUCUCUAGCAACAUAACAGAUCCGUGGUGUAAUAAGAGAAGAUGAUAAAGAAAAUGAAAGCCUAUUUGUAAAGCUUGAGCCAUAUGUGGUAAUCCUCGACGGGUGGAACUUACAAUGUUAAAUCUACUACAAAAGUUCAAAUACUCGCCCACACAUGAUUUUCAUCAAACCCUAGACCUCUUGUUACGGACGAAAGACAAACUUAACAUUUUAUUUUCGUUUGGUUGAGAAGAAUAACAUGUUGCAAGAACAAAAUGAAAAAUCAAAGAUACAUGAAAGAGUUGAACAAAUGCCAUAAUUGAGAAGUGGAAGGAACGUUGCAAAGAGGGAACAGAUGAAAGAGUGAACUAGCUCCGAUGAAUGUGUAGUUAACGACUACAACGUACGAAAUCUAAAAAUUCCAAUCAGGAGGUGAGGAACAAAGGGAAGAAAUUUAAAAACAUUUAACAAAGUACAAAGUUCUAGCUCUCAAUUAUAUAAUUUCAUAAAAGUUAAUUGCAGAACGCUUUCUGCAUCAGCUAGUUCUUCUAUCAAAGUUCCCUCAUCGAGGGCGCCAACCAGCAAACAUCAACACCAGGAUAUAAAUAGGGCAGCACAGCCUACAUUGCAACAUACUUACCUGGAUGGGGUCUAUGGGUGAUCAUGAAGGCCCAUGGCCUGGGUAAGUGGCCUCCAUUGCACAGCGGAGGGGUGCUUGCCUAAGGUCUACCCAAGUGGUGGAGCCUACAUCAUAAUUUGUGACAGGGGGGCCUGCGUUCGCGCAGCCCCUGCAAUUCUAGUGUUAAACAGUCGUGCCCUUUUAGUGGAUAUAUAUAACAAUUAGGCACAGGUUGUCCUUCCCAGAUGUAACUCUGCAAUUCUGGUGUUAAACAGUCGUGCCCUUUUAGUGGAUAUAUAUAACAAUUAGGCACAGGUUGUCCUUCCCAGAUGUAACUUACUCGUCUUGAAAGCACCUGACCCAACUGAAAAUCUCCUGGUAACAUCAACAUGAAUCGUUAUCAUGUUUCGGUUUUAAUCAAGUUCUUCGACAGGUUUCUCUUUCAAUAAUUAACACUCGUCUGGGUGUUUUAGUAUUUCGCUGGGUACCAUAUAUCAGAAUUCUCUCAUAUCAUCGAAAGUCUAACAACUGUUUCCACGGCUAGCUCCUUCUAAUAUCUGCAGUUCUCCCACUCAAGAAAUAUGGCUGACAAGCAGUGAAUGCAGACAUUCUUGAAGAGUCAAGUACCACCUCGAGUUAAAUAUGACAGAGCUACAACAGCUGAGCUUUAAAAGCAAAAUCACACAGAGAAAACACUCAUACCUUUCUCGGCCUUUUGGCUAAGAUCAAGUGUAGUAUCUGUUCUUAUCAGUUUAAUAUCUGAUAUGUGGGCCAUAGGUCCACACGAUAUUAAAUUUAUUUUUUAAGGGGGAAGGCCCAUCACAAUAGCUUGCUAUUGGGGUCUUUGCGCGUCGCCCAAGCGUUGCACUACUGCUCGGGCCUGGCGCACCCCACCAAAUCAAGUCAUCAAGCAUAUUUUGUUAUAUAUAUAAUUUCAGACCCUGACACUCUUCAAGUUUCAUCAUCUCGCCCAACCCAGACCAAAUCAAGUCAUCAAGCAUAUUUUGUUAUUUUCUUUGCCAAACUAACAAUAGAGAAAUUCCAGAGCUAAGUUGACUGUCUUAUGCUAGCAUCCUUUUUUAUUAUUAUUCUUGUUGAAAUCACAUAAUUUGGAGCAAGUAAUUCAUAUGUAAACAAGAUGGAGGUUGAAGAUAUUUAAUUUGCAUGAAUGUAAGUUACCUUCUCAUGCUUCCCUUGACCAAGCAACCAACAAUUUGAGAGUAGUCGUCAUACAUGCAUCCCGGAAGUCCACAUUCCUUUGUCUAUUCUAUUGGUCUCCAGCUCACCUUUCAAAAGCUAGAAGGCCGAAAAUGAGAAUUGAGAGCAACUUAAGCACAGAGGCCAAGGCUUCAACAAUCAAUGAAU
rnacentral:lncRNA from 1 species